CUACCACCUGGUUUAUUCACUUCAACGUAAUAUACUUAAUUUACGCCCAACAGGCCAUUAUUACUGGGCUUAAUAAUGACAGACAGACAACACAUAACAACUGGAUCAAUACAUGGUAGUCCUCUGUAGCUCCAUUGGUAGAGCAUGGCGCUUGAAACAUCAGGAUUGUGGGUUCAAUUCCCGCUGGGGUCACCCAUAAGUUAAAUGUGUGUUGCUUUGGGUAGAAGCCUCUGAGAAAUAUUGUUAUUGCAAGAUCAUAUAUCAAUCAUCAAUAAGAAGAUGGGACAGAUACAGGACACGCAACAACUUAAUUUGUUCCCAAUCAACCUUCCCUCACCUCCCAACACGCAGCAGAUACUGACCAACAGAGGUGUGACUGGGCUACAGUGUCUCUGAGAGGCCGGGUGGUGUGUUUGUGUCGGGGUGCGGUUUAGUGAGUGACCCUGGUGUAAAGGCAGCAUAUGUUCCCCUGCCACAGGCCCAGCCCUGUUUUACAGCCUGUGCUAUAGACAUUACAUAUACGACUGACUGUACCUGCUCUGAUGAGUGUUUUAUAUCAACAAUGUCUGUAAAAUAAUCCAAAACUGAAUAGUACGUGUUAUCAUGUGUUUCUAUAGCGAUAGAGCUGUUCAUGAUGCCAUUGGCUCAGAGAAUUUGAGUUGAUUUACUGUCAUUGGCCCUCCCUCCAUCCUGUUGCUUCACCUCAUUGGUUGAUUGUCCCUCCCAUUGUCCAGGUGAUCAAUCCCAGCCAGGUGUGUGUGUGUGUGUGUGUGUGUGUGUGUGUGUGUGUGUGUGUGUGUGUGUGUGUGUGUGUGUGUGUGUGUGUGUGUGCGGGCGGGCGGGCGAUGUGGAGAAGGUUGAGGGGUGAGUAUGAUGUCAUUCAGAGUGUGUAAGACUGUAUGUGUCUUAAACUGGCACCCUUUUCCUCUAAAAGUGCAUGACUUUAAACCAGAGGCCUAUGAUCUAAGUGGCUCUGGUCAAAAGUAGUGCACAGGCUGCCAUUUGAGACACGGGCUAACUGUAGGAACAAAGCAGAUAGAAAUUCACUGUCCAGAACGGGCAGAACUCUCCAUUGUUUCUGAUCUGGUCAUUGUAUUUGUAUCUGCUGUCAGUGAACUCCCCCAGGUCAUCCAAGCAAUAUUGCCAGCCAAUCACAUGGUUGCAUGGGAAUCAGACUGUGAGCGGGACAUAAAUCAUUAAAGAAAAAGUAGUAAAUAAAUGGAAAAAUGUAACUAAUUACUUCCCUCUCUCCAACUCUUUAUCUUUCCAUAUAUCUCUAUUUCUCUCUGUUCCUCUCUCCCUGUAGUCUACCCCUUCUCUCCCUCUAGUCUAUCCCCUCUCUCCCUAUAGUCUAUCCCCUCUCUCCCUCUAGUCUACCCCCUCUCUCCCUAUAGUCUACCCCCUCUCUCCCUGUAGUCUACCCCCUCUCUCCCUGUAGUCUACCCCCUCUCUCCCUGUAGUCUACCCCUUCUCUCCCUCUAGUCUACCCCUUCUCUCCCUAUAGUCUACCCCCUCUCUCCCUGUAGUCUACCCCUUCUCUCCCUGUAGUCUACCCCUUCUCUCCCUCUCAUCUACCCCCUCUCUCCCUCUAGUCUACCCGAUCUCUCCCUGUAGUCUACCCCCUCUCUCCCUGUAGUCUACCCCCUCUCUCCCUCUAGUCUACCCCUUCUCUUCUCUCCCUCUAGUCUACCCCCUCUCUUCUCUCCCUCUAGUCUACCCCUCUCUUCUCUCCCUCUAGUCUACCCUUUCUCUUCUCUCCCUCUAGUCUACCCCCUCUCUUCUCUCCCUCUAGUCUACCCCCUCUCUUCUCUCCCUCUAGUCUACCCCCUCUCUUCUCUCCCUCUAGUCUACCCCCUCUCUUCUCUCCCUCUAGUCUACCCCUCUCUUCUCUCCCUCUAGUCUACCCCCUCUCGUCCUCUCUUCCGUCUCCUCUAUGCUCUAUAUCUGAAGUAAAGAAGAAGCAUUGAGCUGUGGUAUUGUUCAUAAAAGUGUUUGUUUAGCCUUUUCAUUUUAUACAUUUUCUACCGUAUUUUACUUUUAUUUUUAUUGUUGCAGUUCUUUGAAGAACAUAAAGCGGACAUUUAUUAUGAAAAAUAGUUUUGAAGAUCUAACGAGUCAAUAAAAUAUUACCCAAGUGAA